GACAGAGGUGGCGAGCGUUGUUCGGAAUUACUGGGCUUAAAGGGCGCGUAGGCGGUGGUGUAAGUCUGGGGUGGAAUGCUACAGCUUAACUGUAGAGCUGCCCUGGAAACUGCAUUACUUGAGUCGGUGAGGGGAAGGUGGAAUUCCAGGUGUAGCAGUGAAAUGCGUAGAUAUCUGGAGGAAGGUCUGUGGCGAAGGCGACCUUCUGGCACUUGACUGACGCUGAGGCGCGAAAGCGUGGGGAGCAAACAGGAUUAGAUACCCCCGUAGUCC
rnacentral:rRNA from 1 species